AAUAUUUCUAGUGUUCUCUCUCUAUGCAGCAAUCUCCUCUUUAGAGAUCUCUAAUGAGAACUCUAGCUAACUUCUCUCUGGGCUCUCAAACUUUUCUCUUUAAUUAAGCAGUCAUCUGGGCUCUGCCUGACUUCCCCCUCCCUCAUGUUGGCCUGGAAACUCCUAAAACAGUGAGUGGGAGUGUCAAUAAGGUUGUCCUUCUACCUGACAGAAUUCAUUUACAUGUCUACAGCUCACAACGUUGAUCAAAGCUCCCGCUAGAAUCAGAAUCAGACAAUGUGGAAGGAGAAAAAAGGAAAACUAAUGCUACCAGAUAACCUUAGGUCCACUGGAUAGUCAACUGGACUCAGAGAAGUUUCUGCUUUUGCUUAAAGUUAUGACAAACUCUGGAGCUUGUCAUCUUGCUACAGAUUCCACCCUACCCCACAGGAUUCAAGAAUUAAUUUGAAACAUUUACUAAAGAAGAUAGAAACAUUUUAGACACAGCCAAUUUCCAGAAUCACUCUUGAGACAAAUCUCCGGUAAACAAAUAAAACAGAAAAAGGAACUCCGUGUGAU